GGUCAAGCUACAAAAAGGCUUAUUUG
rnacentral:rRNA from 1 species